ACACACACACACACACACACACACACACACACACAUGCUCGGUACAUUCCCAUCAAUCCAAGAGGAUGGCAUAACCACGUGUCUAUGCGCAUGGAGUUGUUUGGCUUUCUGGAAGUUUGUACAUUUCCUCUGGGUAUGCGUACUGGAGCAAUUGGUGGAUCCCAUAUAGCAACUUCAAGUCUUUCCCAGGGAAGUGCUGGAGAGCAUUCAAGACUUCACAACAGAGCUGGAGCAACGGCAUGGAUUCCCAACCACAGCAAUCUCUUCCAGUGGCUGCAGAUCAACUUAGCUAAGACUCACGUCAUUACAGCAGUCUCUACUCAGGGUAGACAUACUGCAAAUGAAUGGGUGAAUCAUAUCGUCUGUAUUACAGUCAGAACGGGUACAUUUGGCACGCAGUUCGUGCUCCUGUGAGUGGUGCAAUUGUGCAAUUCACGGCCAAUACAGAUAAUCUUUCCGUUGUGAAGAACGUUCUGCCAGUCCCCGUUACUGCCCAAUACCUUCACAUUAAUCCCAGGACUUGGAACAGUAAGAUUGCCAUAAGAACAGAAAUAUACGGCUGUCCUCAAGAACAACUCUAACAAUAACGAAGGACCAGACAAGCAAGCAGAUUAGUGUGACAGCUGUUAGGUAGUCUAGGUUGUAACUGUUGGGUGUUAAUGCGUGUAGGUGUGUGCAUGGGCCUUCCUGAUUGCUUGCGUACUCUAUGUAUGGUGCGUAAGACUAUGAGUAUCAAUGUACAUGCAAGUAUAUGUCUACUCUAAUAGUUUGUCUACUGAAGCUGAACGGCCAGUGCUUUAUAUG